rnacentral:rRNA from 1 species
UACGAAGGGGGCUAGCGUUGCUCGGAAUGACUGGGCGUAAAGGGCGCGUAGGCGGCUUACACCGUCAGAUGUGAAAUCCCCGGGCUCAACCUGGGAAUUGCAUUUGUGACUGCACGGCUAGAGUGUGUCAGAGGGGGGUAGAAUUCCACGUGUAGCAGUGAAAUGCGCAGAUAUCAGGAGGAACACCGGUGGCGAAGGCGCCACUCUGGGCCGGUACUGACGCUGAGGAGCGAAAGCGUGGGGAGCGAACAGG